rnacentral:sRNA from 1 species
AGAAAAGUAGGUGCCGCCCCGCACAGGGGCAACGCUAAUAGACCACUAACAAUUCAAGGAAAGGCCAACACCCGAAGCGUACGGACAACCAAACCGCCGACAAGCCAAAACCCUUUUUUCAACUG